GGUGGAGAUGAAAACACCAACCCAAAGAAGAUAAUUAAAAGCUAAAUGAAACCACAUACAGCUGUGCUACUACAUGGCUAAUGAACAUGCAAAUAUAUACAUAUGACAAGGACAUAAUGCAGACUGGCUGCCUUGAGUGCUUAGUGCAGAUUUCCAAGAGCUGGAAAUGCUAUUGAUUAUAACUGAGCUAAACUUCCUGACUCCAGACUUCAAAGAUCAGCCUCAAUAUAAUCAUCACACAGCAUAUGGAAACAUGGCUGCUAGGCGCUGAUGAAUAAUGGCUCAGGGACCUGAACAUUUGCACGUAGGAUGGGAGAUGUCCUGUUGGCCGCUGAGAAGGCCUGGAGGCUUCUCGGCAGCCAGGACCAGUGCCAUAUAAUCCUCCUCGGUCUUGGCAUGCUCCAUCUUGCUGUCAGUUGAGAUUUUGGAGUAGUGGGUUUUAGUUGGGAUAUUUAUUUUUGCCUUCCCACUUCACUUGGCAAGACGCUGAUGUGUGGAGGACACAUUUCUGUGAGGACCAAGGCUGUAGGUAACAGACGUAAGGCAAAGCUUCUGGGCUCCUACAACAUAGCAGACACGAGCAAGAUGGACAGGUUCUCCUCUGAGGGCCUUCUUGUAUAUUGGCAUGAAAGAAGAUCAAAUCAGAUUUCUCUUAUUAGUUAAAAAAUACCAACCCAAUUCAAUUUACCAUGAGACUUCAAAUACAGAGAAAAAAUAAAUAAAAAUGAAAAGAAAAAGUUUGGAAACAUUGGAGUGUGGCCUUGAACUGAGUGAGACUAAGCAACCAUUGAUCCCGCUGAGCUUGCAUCCAGCCAGACUAUAAAAUGCAAAACAAAACUUGUUCCUCCUCCACAGUGACGCCCAAAACAGCACAUAGUCUUGGGGACUUUUGCAGGCCGUGUCUAGAAGAGCAGCAUGGAGAAUUGCAGAGCACCCUUGGACCUUGGUGUAGAAGAUGGCUGAGCCACCAGGACAGGAGAGAGGCCACCUACAGAAACCAAAUUUGUGCUGAACACAAUGCCAAAACUGUGAUGGAUGGGUGUGCGUGUUUGCUAUUGAGUAUACAGGACUACUCACAACACUCAAGGCAAAGAUGGAAGCUACUUCUCCCAUGAAGGGUAACCACAUGUGAAGAGAGAGAUUCCAAUUCAAGAUUUCUUACUGUGCCUUUGCCAGAGACAUUCCUAAGGAGAUGGAAACUCUCUGAAUGUGGAAUUUUCGCAUGAGUGCAAAAUAAUAAAAAGCAUGUGUGUAUUAAAAAGGGAUCAACUUAAUGGGAAAUGAGCAUUGGGUUACAUUAAUAUUCUAUUACAGUAAAAAUCAUAUUUAAUAAAUUUUCUCCAGAUUUUUCAGAAUCUUACUGUAUUUUUCUAAGUUGUAUGCCAAUCCAAAGAAACAGUGUAUAUGAUACAUUUGAUUUAUGUUAAGUAAAUAACCUGCACAGCCCAUUUUUGGGUUUUUAAAAAAAAUAUUAAGUGUAGAAACACACACCAGACUGAAAUGUGUGCUUAGUUUCCAUAUGCUAGGAGAAAUAGUGUUGGUCUUGUGCAGCAGAAAGCCUUUAUAAACAGUAUUCUAUUUUAUUGAUGCUAUAUGUGGAUUUUUAUGUUAUGUGGCAAGAGCACGAGAA